CCCUCGCUGUGUGUUAUAUGUGUCACACGGGACGUGCCGGUCUUAAGCCGGAGGAAGGUGGGGAUGAUGUCAAGUCAGCAUGGCCUUUAUAUCCUGGGCUACACACACGCUACAAUGGCCAACACAAUAGGUUGCUAAGCCGCGAGGUGGCGCCAAUCCAUAAAGUUGGUCUCAGUUCAGAUUGUAGGCUGCAACCCGCCUGCAUGAAGAUGGAGUUGCUAGUAACCGCAGGUCAGCUAUACUGCGGUGAAUACGUUCCCGGGGCUU
rnacentral:rRNA from 1 species